UACGAAGGGUGCAAGCGUUACUCGGAAUUAUUGGGCGUAAAGGGUUGGUAGGUGGUCUUGUUUGUCUAAGGUGAAAUCCCAUGGCUUAACUGUGGAAGUGCCUUAGAAACGGCAAGACUAGAGUCCUAGAGGGGUUUGUGGAAUUCCCGGUGUAGCGGUGAAAUGCGUAGAGAUCGGGAGGAACACCAGCGGCGAAGGCGGCAAACUGGAUAGGCACUGACACUCAACAACGAAAGCGUGGGGAGCAAACAGG
rnacentral:rRNA from 1 species